rnacentral:lncRNA from 1 species
CCAAGCGAGUAUGGAAAUUACAUGCAGUGCAGAUGCCAUUUUCAACGUCAGACGAAUAAUGCAGCUAUUUAAGAAAAACAAAGAUGUGCUUAGAAAUUGAUCACCCGUAUCUGCUCAAGAUUAGAGGAUGCACAGAGCCACGAAUCUUCAGCUUACAGGCACCGUGCAGAUCCACUUUUGGUUUAUGCAAGGUGAACACGGAGGUAGUAGGAGCAAAUACCAGCUCCCCAGAAAGCAUGGUAGAAACAGAAGGUAUUGGAGGUUCCAAGAUGGCCGAAUAGGAACAGCUUCAGUCUGCAGCUCCCAGAGUGAGUGACACAGAAGACGGAUGAUUUCUGCA